UGCCGUAGCAACAGUUGUCUUGAACCGUCAAUCUUUGUCCACGUGUUAAAGAUGAAUCGUCUUUGUGUCUUGACUUUAUUUUGUGUGGAUUUAUUCUGUAGAAACGUUCACGGUGAAAAUCUUCUGUCUGUUUAUUCUGGUGAUGAUGUCAUCCUGCCGUGCCGCCUGGACUCUGAGGAGGAUCUGCAGGAUCAGGCUGUGGAGUGGACCAAACUGGAAGUCAAGCCCGAUCCAAAGGAUCCACAGGGCCGCGUCCCUUUUGUGUAUUUUUACCGGAACAGGAAGACCAUGACCACAGUUAUGAUAGAGUCGUUGAUCCCGAGAGUGUCUCUGGACCAAGACGGACUCAAACGAGGAGACGUGACGUUAAAGAUCAGGAACGUGUCGCUCCAGGAUGAGGGGAAGUACAGCUGCUUCAUUCCUGGGAAGAACUUCAGGGAGACGGUUCAGCUGGUUGUUGAGCCAAACGGAGUCAGAGCUCCAACCAUGGAAACAUCCCAGGUUGACAUCAUCUCCACUCCAGAUCCAGGAGGAGACCGGAUCUGGAUCAGUCGCUCCAGACCGGCUCUCUGGAUCCUUCUUGGAGGUUGGACCUCAUUGAUCCUCUCUGCUGUUUGUGUCGUUAAAAUGAGGGACAGAAAGAAAACGUGAAGGUUCAAGCAGCCACAUGGGGGCGCUAGAGACCUGCUACUGUGACAACCUUUGGACUUCAUGCCUGAGAGCUCCUUCAUCUGCCCACUGGAUGUUCAGCUCCUCAGGUUGAAGUUGACGGUUGGGAUCCGUCUGACUUUGCUGCAGUCGUCUCCUGGAUUUCAGGAGCUUUGUUUCUGUUCUGCUCAAAUCCCAGCAGAGGUCCUGCUGCUGGUUCCAGAAAACCAACUGGAAAUGAAAGCUGAAGGUUUUUCCAGGACGGACUCUGGAAUGAUGGAAGUGGAGACACUUUUCUGGUGUCUAGUGUGACAUCGUCCUCUUUUGGAACACCAGAAGACCCAAUCAAAGCUCCAACAUCUUCCUGACAGGAUUUCUGACAGAAGAUCAAAGCAGAAAGAUGGAAGUGGUUUCCAUGGAAACGUCUGUCAGCUGCUCCUCCAUCCAGAGGAAAUGUAAACCAAACAGAGCAGCAUCUUCUCAGGA